rnacentral:misc_RNA from 1 species
CUUGGUUUCACCAUCGGAGUCCUUGCUCAAGGUUACAUCAUCAUUAAAGACAGCAAAAGCUGCUCCAUCUGUCGGCGAUGUCUGUGCCAAGCCAACUGCCUGGCGUGUGGGGCACUAACCCUACUUCUGUUGCUUGAAAAAGACUAUGACUCCUUGGCCCUGUAUGCUUGGGGCUUCGGGAUUUUCUGUGGAGGAUAUUACUACACCCUGAAAAUGUACACUUAUGAACUUGUGAAGUUUAAAAUCAUGGAAAGGGCUUGGGGUUUUGUUUGUGCUGCUCAAUGUUUACCAAUUCUUAUUGGAUCACCCAUAUCAUUGUACCUAAAUAGUACUCACCAGACUGAACACGCUGGCUUUAUUUUUGCCGGUGUGGCGAUGGUGCUAGCGGGCCUCUUGUUUUUCUUGAUGCCGGCAUUUGAAAGACACAAAUCGAAUUCAUUGGUCAGACAGAUGGCUAAAAACACGUGCAGCAAAAACAGCACCGAGGCUGCUGCUCUUUUGGAUCUUGACUUGACUGAUGCCAUGGUAACCAAACCGCUAAACAACGUCCAGUUUAUUGUGUCGCCCUCUCGAUUAAAACACACCAAUAAAGAGGGCGGGAAAUUUCAAAUGCAGUGUUUUAUUCACCAAAAGGAGAAGGAAAAGCCUAAACAAAUAGUUUUGUCAAAAAUAACAGAAGAGAAAGAGGGUCUACGAUUGGAUUUCAAUGAAGUGUCUCAUGGCUCCGUUUCCUCCAAAAACAAUGAAAACAGCGUACCGGAGAAAACGGAUCCGGACCCGCGAAAAACUAACAUUGCUGACUUCCCUUCCGACAGCAUACAGUCAAGUCACACAGGGAAGUCCAGUUCGGACAGCAGUUAUUCAAAGUCUGAGGGCAGAAAACUCAAGAAAAACAUUGAUAACGUCAAAAUUGAACUUUUUGACCCCCCUAGUCAGGAAAAGGAAUCAACAGCCACAGUUUCGUAUGACAGUGACCUCUAUAUCAAUCUGUGCGAGGCCCAGGUGUAAACGAUUUUUUUUUCCUUUCUGAUAACGAAAGAGUAUGUUUAUCGAUAUACAUUUUCCUCGAUAUAUAUUUGUAUUAUACUGAAUGAGCUUGAUUGGACAACGUGACUGUGGUCUCUAUGGAAACAUUCUAUAUUUAGAGACGAUUUGAAUCGAAAGAAUGGAUGAUAAGAUAUAAGAAUAUUGACAGUGAAGUGAUAGUGGAGGUUUCUAACGAAUGAAGAAAUCAUUCCGUAUACUAGUAUAUACCAUACAUCAGUGGCCUCUAACUGAAAGGAAUUUACAAGUGUUUUUUGUUGGAUUUUUUUUUCUUAUUACACAAGUGGUACAUAAAUGGAACCAUCAUAUGCAUGAAGAUCGACCAAUUACUUAAAUGUUGGAUUUUUUUAUAAUGACCUAACUACAUGAAUACUAUUAUAUCUAAUGAAUCAUUCCGCAAAACGUUGUUGCUUUGGAUGUACAUGUCUUUUGUGUUACGAAUUAUUGAAUGUAAAUUAAUUAUAUGUUACCGUCGCUAUAUAUUUACAGCGAACUUGUUUAUUUAAUAUCUCAAACAUAUUGUGUAUAAAUACUUUUAAUUAACAGCAAACGAUCUCAGAAACUAUGAUAUUUGUUAGCAAAAAUUUCUACUCGAACUUUGCAGAUAAACACUGUAUAAAAACAUUUUAAUUUUAUUUCCUGGAGUUUUAGUGAAUUUUUCUGCGAAUAUUUUCUCUGCGCCAGAAUAAGUCAGAAUCUUUUGUACAUAUCUUGCGCUUCGUGCCAUACAUGUGCGUGUAUGUAUAAAUUACUUUUAAUAUGUGAACAAAAAUGUUUUGUUUGUAAUGCUUGAUAAAUAAAAUAUCGAUCUAU